UUAAUGAACAGAACUGUAGUGACACGGAAGGUAAGACAGAGCCGGGAAUGAGAAAACCGGUGCAAGCACAAUAGAUGUGCGGGAGGAAAAAUCCCCGUAUAAGUCGAAAGUGUGAUGCGGACCGAAAAAGAGUAGGGAAGCUGUUAAGCAAGCCGUCAAGAAAAGCUGCUAUUGUUUCAUUAUGGCCCGUACCGUAAACCGACACAGGUGGAUGGGGAGAGAAUCCUAAGGCCGGCGGAAGAAGUAUUGUUAAGGAACUCGGCAAAAUGACCCCGUAACUUCGGGAGAAGGGGUGCCUGCGAGAGCAGGCCGCAGAGAAGAGGCCCAAGCAACUGUUUAGCAAAAACACAGGUCUAUGCAAAACCGAAAGGUGAGGUAUAUGGGCUGACGCCUGCCCGGUGCUGGAAGGUUAAGGGGAGUGGUCAGGAAACGAAGCCACGAACUUAAGCCCCAGUAAACGGCGGCCGUAACGAUAACGGUCCUAAGGUAGCGAAAUUCCUUGUCGGGUAAGUUCCGACCCGCACGAAAGGCGUAAUGAUUUGGGCGCUGUCUCGACAAUACAUCCGGUGAAAUUGAAGUGCCAGUGAAGAUGCUGGCUACCUGCGCCAGGACGGAAAGACCCCAUGGAGCUUUACUCCAGCUUGAUACUGGGACCCGGUAUUGCAUGUACAGGAUAGGUGGGAGGCUAGGAAAUGUGGACGCCAGUCUGCAUGGAGCCGCUGUUGGGAUACCACCCUUGUGGUGCUGGGUUUCUAACCAGAGGCCGUGAACCGGUCUGGGGACAAUGUCAGGUGGGGAGUUUGACUGGGGCGGUCGCCUCCGAAAGGGUAUCGGAGGCGCCCAAAGGUUCCCUCAGAAUGGUUGGAAACCAUUCGAAGAGUGCAAAGGCAGAAGGGAGCUUGACUGUGACACCGACGGGUGGAGCAGGUACGAAAGUAGGGCUUAGUGAUCCGGUGGAAUUUAAGUGGGAAUGCCAUCGCUCAACGGAUAAAAGCUACCCUGGGAUAACAGGCUGAUCACUCCCAAGAGUUCACAUCGACGGAGUGGUUUGGCACCUCGAUGUCGGCUCAUCGCAUCCUGGGCUGAAGUCGGUCCCAAGGGUUGGGCUGUUCGCCCAUUAAAGCGGUACGCGAGCUGGGUUCAGAACGUCGUGAGACAGUUCGGUCCCUAUCCGGCGUGGGCGUAGGAUAUCUGAGAGGAGCUGUCCUUAGUACGAGAGGACCGGGAUGGACUGACCUCUGGUGUACCGGUUGGCGAUCAACGCCACGGCCGGGUAGCCAUGUCGGGACGGGAUAAACGCUGAAGGCAUCUAAGCGUGAAGCCCCCCUCAAGAUGAGAUAUCCCAUCGUAAGAGUAAGACCCCUUGAAGACGACGAGGUUGAUAGGGCAGGGGUGGAAGUGCUGUAAGGCAUGGAGCUGACUGCUACUAAUCGGUCGAGGGCUUG
rnacentral:rRNA from 1 species